rnacentral:rRNA from 1 species
UUUUCCUACGGGAGGCAGCAGUGAGGAAUAUUGGUCAAUGGCCGGGAGGCUGAACCAGCCAAGUCGCGUGAGGGAAGACGGCCCUACGGGUUGUAAACCUCUUUUGUCAGGGAGCAAGGUGCAGGUCGGGACCUGCUGUGAGAGUACCUGUAGAAUAAGCUCCGGCUAACUACGUGCCAGCAGCCGCGGUAAUACGUAGGGAGCAAGCGUUAUCCGGAUUUAUUGGGUGUAAAGGGUGCGUAGACGGGAAAACAAGUUAGUUGUGAAAUCCCUCGGCUUAACUGAGGAACUGCGACUAAAACUAU